GGGAAAGUAUGUGGAACUAAAAAGAAGAAAAUGGAAGGGAGGUGAAGGUCUUGUCAGCAAGCAGAGGCUGAAUGCACAGGAAGAGAUGAGACCUGCAAUGCUGCCCGCUUCCUUCUUCCCCCUGCUUGGUGCCUCCUGCCAAUAAAUAAAAACCCAUAUGCGUGUGGGUUGUGAUAGACACAGGUUCCUGUCCUCCUGCUGCCUGCUUCAGCACAGGGGGUUGAUGUGAGAUCUCCCACUCUCCAUGAGGGUGUUCUACCUGCUAGACUUGGAGGUAUGCAGAGGAGGAGCUGCUCUUCUAAAACUUUUUUGCUCUAAACUGCUUACACAUUGCCUGAGGGGAAAAAAAGCUGUGGCAGAUAGUGAUGAAGAAGGAAGCUGAGCAAGUCAACACACUGAACAACUACGAAAAUGCUGAAUUAUCUAUGCAAAGGACAAUAUCUUCAUCUCAGGGAGUUAAGACAAUCAGCCUGUAAAACCUUGUGGUGCAGUAUCAAGGCCUAAUCCUAGGAAACAGAGGGGAGACUCUUAGACAAACAUCAUAAAUACUGAGACAUCUAUGGGAUCCCUGCCUCUCACUAACAUAAUGGCUGUAAUCUUUUGAGUUUAUUAAGUGUGCCUAGAAGUUAAUUGAAAGUAUUUAUUUAGUGAGCAAAAUUAACUGUUUCAGUACUAUGGAAAAACUGAGUGAAUAUUGAUUGAUUUAAUUUGAUUUUUAAACUACAAUUUAUAUCAGGAAGGAGGAAAAGGGAAGAAAAACUAGCAACGUGAGCGGAUCCAAUGGACCAAAGCAAUUUGGGAUUUACCAUAGCUAAUAUUAUAUGCAUAAGUACUUCUUUUGCAGAACAAAGAUUGUGCUGCAGAAACUAUUUUAAUAGACUUCAGUAUAUGUAGGAUAGGGGAAAUCUUUGAUCAGUUCAGGAAGAAGGCAGGGUGUUUAUUUUCUUUAAUCUCACUCAACAGCAACAAAUAAAGACUGAUAAUAGUCCAAGGAGUCUACUGGAUGCUUGUAUCAGGAAGGAGAACAGAGUGUAACUGAUCAAUGGUUGUCUCUAUCAAGCUGCAUUUGGUUGGGAUUUUUCCUUUCCAAAUUGUCAUGACUGAAGCUAGUAAAAGUUGAAAGGAGGAUGGAUAUCUACAAGGAUAAUCGUUAAGGUGUGUGUACUGCUUCCACAGCUAUUAGAUCAAAGCCCUUUACUGAACUAUUUUAUUAUCAGGCUUAUAAAUCAGUCUCAGUUCAUUUUACAAACAUUAGUAGUCCCAUCAAUUACAGGCAUUUAGGACUAAUGGUUUUACAGGAAUGUUAAUAGUACAACUUUUUUUCCUGAAAACCAUCACUGAAGACUAUUAAAAGGUUAUUAAUUGCUGUAUGUAACAUGCACAAUUAUUUGUUUCUAGUUUCUAUCAGCAGAUUGGCAUGUAAGUACAUUUGCUAACCAGUUAAACUUCAUGGAUAUCAAAUGUAGUAAAUGCAAAACCAUUUAUAAGCCAUCCUUUUCCAGCUUUCCUUCACAGACAUGGUCUAAGUACACCAGGACCAUUCUACUGCUGCCUUUCAAAGCCCUUAUGGAUGUGGUACAGCACUCCAGACACUGCCACCAUCCCUGCAGGGACCCUGGGGCUUGAGGCAGACUGUCCCCAGGCAGUAGCUAUUUUACCAGGCAGGGACAAGUGUCAGGUCACAGCCUGUUGGCUCAGGUAGAAGUGAUGGGCGCUGCACUGAGACCUGAACAAAACAGAAAUAGCACAAGAAGAUACUUGAGGAGUGAGGGUUUCACAGGAGAGAAGCUUCCCUGUGGAGGGUGUGUAACCUGCUGUAGGAACACUUUGGGCUCUGGAUCAUUCCAUACCUCAGAAAUUUUGAAACACCUCCUAAUUGAUUCAGGCAUUUCCCAUUUUACUCUCCAGCCCCUGAUAAUGUAGAUGCCUCUUCAGAUGCACAGAUUUAGCUGCAGGGUACAUAGUACAAAUUGCUAGAUAUGAUGUUCCUCUGUAUGUGUGUGAAAUGAACUGCCUGUCCCAGCCAAACCUACCCUUAGCCCAUACUAAGUGCUAAAGUUCUGUUUCUGAUCACUAAAUAAUAAAACAACCAAAACUCAA